rnacentral:misc_RNA from 1 species
CAGUCGUGCUUCGCGCUUGCUGUCCACGCGCCUUUGUCACUUAGGCAAACAUCCACCGCCCCCCUUUUUUGUCGAUCUCAUCUCUAUUUUUUCGGCCCUACUGCACAUCUUGUGCGUCUUUGCCUCUUGCUGUACGUCGCUCUUUCCGCUGCUGCCCUUGUUGCGUUCACCUGUGCUUCUCCAUCUCGCAUGGCUCCGCGCGUGUGCGCAGUUGCGUUGAAAGCACGUUUCCUUUCAGUCUUCUCUGUUGCUGCGUCUGUGAAGCGGCCUCGCGCUUGGGUUCUUUCCUUUUCUGCGUCUUGCGUGCCUCGUCUCAGCACCACGCACUAACAGGGUGCGUGCUGGGAGCUGGGUACUGCACUUGUGCGUACACAGGCACAUCCAUGCAAAUAUAUACAGCCGCAUAGACGGAAUCCCUCCUCCUCCACAGGCACACAAGCGGCCCCAGCAAAAAAAAAACAAAAGCGGAUUGCAAUCAUGUUCAAUCGCCUCUUUGGAAAAGAGAAGCAGGUGCAGCCGAGCCGCAGCAGUGGCGGCGGCAACACGAACACCGCGAAGACGAUGGAAGACAUGGACGCGGCCAUUGAGCUGCUGGAGAAGCGCGAGGCGGCACUGGAAAAGCGCAUGGAAAGCGAGCUGGCCAAGGCGAAGCAGCUGUACGCGAAGAAGAACACACAGGGCGCCCUUCAAUGCAUGAAGCGGAAGAAGAUGUACGAAGAGCAGCUCUUGAACAUCGGCGCGCAAAAGCAGAACCUAGAGACGCUCAAGUUCACUGUACAGAACCAAAGUAUGAACCACGAGGUGCUGCGAGCGCAGAUUCGCGCCAAGGAUGAGCUGAAGCGUUCCAACAAGCAAAUGAAGGCGGAAAAGAUCGAGGACAAUAUGGAUGACUUGAUGGAGGAGAUGGACAAGGCGAACCAGGUGAGCGAGGCGCUCCGCCAGCCGUUAGACAAUAACUUCGUCGAUGAGGACGAGCUAAUGAACGAGCUGGAGAUGGAGCUCGACGGCAUGAACCUCGAGGAGACUCAAGUGGCCGACGCGAAGCUGCCUGAGAUGCCCGCCGUGCCUAGCCAGAAGCUCCCGGCGCAGCCUGUCAAAACCAAGACGCAGGAAGACGAGGACGCCCUUGCAGCUCUCGAGGCGGAGCUUGCGUAAAAAGGCUCACCAGAAAGGGGGUAGAUCGGGGGAGAGGGAAGGAAGCGCGAAGCGGCCACACAGAGGAGGCUUUUGAUAGUGGUGCGCUGGAGACGCAGCGGUGUGGGCACGCAGUGCUGCUCAUACGGGCACGGUAAACAUAGUAGAGUGAGCUGCUGUGUAGUUUUGCCGUGAUGCGCACCACUUCCUGUCGCUUUCCUCGAACGACACCAGAUUUGCACACGCUUUCGCCGCAUCCGGACGGAGCGGGAGGAGGGUGCGAGGGAGUCUCGGUUGCAGGAACUCCUCAAUUUCUGUGUGACACGGCGUCUGACGGCGUGUGCGCUGCUUUUUUCUCCUCGGUGUCUCACGCGGUCACUAGCGCAGGCCUUCUUUUGCUUCUUUCCCGUCGACUACUCCCCACUGCACCUCAGCGGCGCCGUUGCCCUACCUCGAUCACCUUCACUGCGCCGACACACUCCUGGUUCCUCUCUCACCAAGCACGACCGGCGUAGUGCAUCUGCCUUUUUGUCCUUUUUUAACGCUCUAUUAUCCACCUCCUCUUCUUCCUUCCGCUCAGCUUUGAAUGAUGCAUUGGAUUCGCGCGCGUUCAGCGCAGAACAUAUCUAUGUGCGUGUGCGUGUGCGUGUGUGUGUGUGUGUGUCGGAAUGGCUGUUUUUGCUCCACUUUUGCUGUCAUUGACGUUGUUGUUGUUUUUUUUCCUCUCGUCUUUGUGCUCUGUUGGUCUAUCUCUGUCUCUCUGCCUCCGCCUCCCUUUCCUUUCUUCGUGGCUCUUCGUUGUGUGUGUAGGCGCGUGUGCGCGCCUUUCGCUUUUUCUUUUAGUCGCACCCGCUCUGUCUGCGCUAUGCCAUCCUGUUCUCUGUUGCUUCUUCCUUUUUCUUGCGCGCUCUUUGUCUGUCUUUUCACCGCUUUUUCCGUGCGUUGCCUUCCUCGUUUGCCGUCGCUUUUGCGUCGUGGCAUCGUGUCGGUUGUCUUGCGUUGUGUCUGUGCUUGCUGUGGGUGAAAGGAAAGCCCCCUGCUCGCUUGUGUUCGUCAUGCCUCAUCGGUUAUCUUUUUUGAACUGUGUGCUCGUCGGCUUUCUCUCUCUGCGAUUUUUUGCUCACUGCCCUUACGGCUCCUCCUGCUCCCUCGCGAUCUCCCCUCCCCCACACUCGCACGCAUUCACGGUUGUUAGCAGGCUGCUGGUGGACUGCUGCUUCAUCUUUUGCUUGCACCUUACGAAGCGCAUGAUGUUCGUAGUGGGGGCACAGAUGGCUUACAGGCAAAAAAAAACGAAAAGAGGACUGAAGAAGCGCAAAGGGAGCAUCUUCUGCUCUUGUCGAGGCCUCCCGCAUCCCUCUUUUUCGCUCAUGCAUGCCUUAUCGCUUUCAGCAUCAUCAUGCACCCACUCUCUUGUUUUUUUUUCCUUCAAGGGUGGAGGAUGAGAGAUGACCUCUCACGAGGCAGCCCUCCCUCCUACACCUCUCCUUCCUUCCCGCACACUCACCCGGGCGCAGCGUUUCACUGAUGUGUACGUGUGUGCGUGUGUCUUCAUUCUGUUGUAUCUGAAUGUAUGCGCUAACUUGACCAGGGGCGAGACGGCCUCUUGUCUUUUUCGCUUGCUUUAUUUUUCUGGAGAAUUCACGCAACGAAAACAGAGAGUGGGAGAGCACAAGGUCGGAUGGCUGGCGGGGUGAGGCGAAGCAGCAUCGCAAUGAAAGAAAAAAACAAGAGACACGAGAAAAGCUGGGGGAACGCGUUCGUUAGACUUUUCGAAAUCGACGCGCACCAUUCGUGACGUCUUCAUGUACUCGUGACCUGGUGACGCACCUUCCUCAAGGUGCUUCUUAUCUUUUUUUUGCCUGAUGGUGACUGAUGAUGGUGAACGCGAGGGGCGGGGGGGGGCAGUGAGACGCAGGAGACGGAAAAGAGAAAAGGGCAAUGCACACAGACGCACAAAUAAUGUGUAUAGGGGGCCAUCGUGCGCAUAUUUGGCUAUUUGUUCGCUUCUGCGCCUGUGCGCGUCUGAGUAAGUGUGCGUAAGGCGUCAUUC